rnacentral:rRNA from 1 species
CAACGGGUGCGGAACACGUACAGAACCUACCUUUAUCUGGGGCAUAGCCCGGAGAAAUCCGGAUUAACUCCCCAUAACAUAAUUGAGUGGCAUCACUUGGUUAUUAAAAAUUUAUUGGAUAAAGAUGGCUGUGCGUCCCAUUAGCUAGUUGGUAGGGUAACGGCCUACCAAGGCGACGAUGGGUAGCUGGUGUGAGAGCACGACCAGCCACACGGGCACUGAGACACGGGCCCGACUCCUACGGGAGGCAGCAGUGAGGAAUAUUGGUCAAUGGACGCAAGUCUGAACCAGCCAUGCCGCGUGAAGGAUGAAGGCCUUCUGGGUUGUAAACUUCUUUUAUCUGGGAAGAAAAUUACGGUUUCUACUGUAACCGACGGUACCAGAGGAAUAAGCACCGGCUAACUCCGUGCCAGCAGCCGCGGUAAUACGGAGGGUGCAAGCGUUAUCCAGAUUUACUGGGUUUAAAGGGUGUGUAGGCGGGCUUUUAAGUCAGUGGUGAAAUCUCCGGGCUCAACCUGGAAACUGCCAUUGAUACUAUUAGUCUUGAAUUCUGUUGAGGUGGGCGGAAUAAGUCAUGUAGCGGUGAAAUGCAUAGAUAUGACUUAGAACACCAAUUGCGAAGGCAGCUCACUAAACGGAUAUUGACGCUGAGGCACGAAAGCGUGGGGAUCAAACAGGAUUAGAUACCCUGGUAGUCCACGCCCUAAACGAUGAUUACUCGACAUACGCGAUACACAGUGUGUGUCUGAGCGAAAGCAUUAAGUAAUCCACCUGGGAAGUACGACCGCAAGGUUGAAACUCAAAGGAAUUGACGGGGGUC